rnacentral:rRNA from 1 species
AACGAACGCUGGCGGCGUGGAUAAGACAUGCAAGUCGAGCGCUAGAUUCAAGGUAGCAAUAUUUUGAGUCUGGAGCGGCGAAAGGGUGCGUAACGCGUGGGUAAUCUGCCUCAAGAACCGGGACAACCUCGAGAAAUCGAAGCUAAUACCGGAUAACGCUGCAAAACGGCAUCGCUUUGCAUCGAAAGCUGGGGACCGCAAGGCCUAGCGACUUGAGAUGAGCCCGCGACCUAUCAGCUAGUUGGCGGAGUAACAGCCCACCAAGGCUAUGACGGGUAGCUGGUCUGAGAGGACGACCAGCCACACUGGAACUGAGACACGGUCCAGACACCUACGGGUGCAGCAGUCGAGAAUUUUUCACAAUGGGGGAAACCCUGAUGGAGCGACGCCGCGUGGGGGAUGAAGGGCUUCGGGCUCGUAAACCCCUGUCAUGGGCGAUCAAAGCAACUGUCUAAAUAGGGCAUUUGUUGAUAGUAGCCUAAGAGGAAGGGACGGCUAACU